UGCUGGUCUCCCCGCAACGAUAUGUUGGUUACCUCGUCAGGCCCGGAAGGGAGCAGCGAAGCCUUCGGACUCGGGUGCCGGGAUCAGGCUGGUACGG
rfam:Methylophaga frappieri strain JAM7, complete genome.